rnacentral:lncRNA from 1 species
UCACAUUGGAGAUGCUCUAACUUAUGACUAUAAUUAUUAACUAUUCCCUUAUAGUAACUCCUUUUUUGGUCCCACACCAUAUAAUAUAUACCUUAUCUAUACGUAUAAAACUUCUCUCUCUAUUCAUAAUACGUACCACAAACACUUACAUAUUUAAUGCUUCGAUUUUUCUAAUUAUACAUUUUUUCAUCCAUGGUUUUUUUUUUUUGACGUCUAGAUUUAUAAUUUAUUGCAAAUUAUGAGAACUGUUACAUAGACGAUUCUACAACGGACAAUUCCUUCCGACCCUUAUUAGAUCCAUGACAGACGACACUUCCUUCUCCAUGCUCUUGACGCAUACCUUCAAUGAUCCAUGACCUGACGACACUUCUCUCUCGGCGUAGAAUCCUGGCGAACGGCUAUAAUUGUACUUCGCUGGAGAUCUCCUGCACACUUGCCUCCUUUAAUCUGCAAAUUUAUUAAUAAAUCGCAAUAUCUGGGACUCGAACCCCAGGUCUCUUGGUGUAGAAGCAUUAAUUAACCCUUGGUCAACCAAUAGGCCAAGG